UUCUUAACCGAGGAACAAGGUGCAUUUGUUUGGCAAUUCAUAUGUCCUCGAUACUCUUAGAAGACUUCUUUCGGUGGAUGAACUCCUUUCUUUCGCCAGAGGAAAGAGAGAAUGUUGCAAUGUAUUAAACAAGUUGUACCCGAUGACUUACUUUUACAAGAGUCAGCUGCAGUUCAAUCGGAGGAAACUGCUAUGUGGUAUGGGGUCAAAUGCUAUGUGGUAUGGGGUCAAAUGCUGGAAUAUUAGUUGAUAAUGCAACUGAUGUUCAUCUUGUUGGCUUUUGAUGUCUAUGUUGCUUACUUUACAAACAUACAAGAUUGAUGGCCUUUGUGAACUAGCUACUCCAAGAACUCUCCUUGGUUGAUGAGAGGGCAAAUUGAAGCACUUUGACUGCCCGAAGGGAAAGCAGAUGCAUUGAGAAAAGCAAGCUUUGAACAUCAAGUCCUGAUGCAACUUAAUAUCAAGUAACCAACUUUGUUGAUGAUUCCAAUCUCUCCUAUGAAUCUAU